UCAGCCCCUGUGGCUCCUCUGCCGCCCCUCCGGCUUCACCUUCGGCGACUACACCAUGUACUGGGUGCGCCAGAGCCCCGGGAAGGGGCUGGAAUGGGUCGCCGGGAUCAGCUAUAAUGGUCGUUACACCUACUACGCGCCGUCGGUGAAGGGCCGGUUCAGCAUCGCCAGGGACAACGGGCAGAGCUCGGUGACGCUGCAGAUGAACAACCUCAGGGACGAGGAUUCCGCCACCUAUUUCUGCGCCAGGAGCUAUGAUGGGGGUGUUAAUUAUGCCGAUGAUUUUCCCAACCCCCUUCAAGGG